CCUACGGGGGGCAGCAGUCGGGAAUAUUGCGCAAUGGAGGAAACUCUGACGCAGUGACGCCGCGUAUAGGAAGAAGGUUUUCGGAUUGUAAACUAUUGUCGUGAGGGAAGAAGAUGACAGUACCUCAGGAGGAAGCUCCGGCUAACUAUGUGCCAGCAGCCGCGGUAAUACAUAGGUGGCAAGCGUUGUCCGGAUUUAUUGGGCGUAAAGCGAGUGCAGGCGGUUCAAUAAGUCUGAUGUGAAAACCUUCGGC
rnacentral:rRNA from 1 species